UCAUAUCAAAUUUCAAUUAUUUCUUUAUAUUUAUAAUAUUAAAUUAUUAUAUGAAUGAUAUAUUCAAGUAACAUCAUGCAUGCUAUUUUACACUCAAACAUUUAAUUUUACUGCGUUCAGUAUAUAUGUAAAGCGAAUGAUUUACUCACUUCAAAAGUUUUAUUUUAAUAAACAAGAUAAAAACAAUACACAACAUAAAAAAAUUCAAGGCUAUGAUUUCAGAAAUGUGUAUUAUUAUUUUGUGUAUCAAUUUU